GGGGAAAAAGAACAACAUGAUAACUGAUGCAAAGUUGCUAGCUGGGACUAGUAAGGCGCUGGGGCCAAUAUUAGUAAAGAGUGAAAUAAAGCAACUUAGCUAUUUGUUGUUCUGAUGUCCGAAAGGUAUAAUGAUUUGUGUUGUAUGAGUUUGUAUUGUACCUGCAUGCUAACCAUGCGCUCGAACGGAUUAUUUUUACCAUUAUUUUAUUGAGUUUUCUUUGUUUUGGGAACUUUUUCAAACUUGCUUUUGAGUGGAAUUUCACUUAUGUGCAUAUGAGUGGGUUACAUUUUCCCAAAAUUAUAGCACCUUUUUGGAAGGUUGCUUAUUAUUGCUAAUUUAGCAAUUGCAUUCCUGUUUACGUUGAUAGGUUUUGCGAGUAAGGCAUUUUGGAGCUUGAAUUUUAAAAAUAUCAAAACCAUAGUUCAAAGUCUGAAAAAAUCAUAGGUUUUUAUACAUAUGUUCAUAUGGAUGCAUUCUACAAGUGUAUAACGUUUCAGGAUGAAAUACCUUAACAUGUGAGCUACACAAAAAUGAUUUUUUUUUGAAUUUUUAAUAAUGAACAAUGCAUGUACUGUUCACCAUUAUCAAAGUUACGAAUUUCUUAUUGUAGUUCACAUGUUAACAUAUAUCAAAAUUAAACUUUAAAUACAUGUAGUAUAUAUCCAUAUAAACAUGAGGAGUUUUUUUUUUAAAAUGAAAGUUCAAAAUGUGACUUUCAAAUUUUUCAAAACAAAAACUAGCUCAACACACCAAUAUCUGUCCAAAUAUGUUAUUCCCACCACCUGUGGGAGCUCUCUAAAAGUUGGGCCAGAAAAUUUCCUAUUGUUUAUUUAAUAAAGUUUAAACAUAUUACUAUAUUAGGGGUGAGAUGACCGGGCUGGGAGCACCGUAGACAAACCACCUUAAUGAUAAUAACCAUAUAAGUAUGUGAACUAUUUAAAAAAAUAUAAGUAUGUGAGUUAUUAAUUGCCAUGCAUACACAACACUAGUAUAAAAAGGACCUAAUGUGAGACACAUUAGUCUAAGUUCAAUUUUGGCCCGGUACUAAUGGUACCAUUAGUCCCAAUUCGAACGGCUAUGCAUUAAUGCCGGUUCGUGUUGAACCUUAUUACCGGUUGGGGUGGUGGCAGGCUGGCGUCAGGCUGGGGCCCCACGAGCCCCAUUAGUCCCGGUUCGUGGCACAAACCGGUACUACAUGGCUAACCUUUAGUGCCGGUUUGUGGCACGAACCGGGACUAAAGGGGUCUGACCUAUAGUCCCUGUUGGAGACACAAACCGGGACUAAAGGGCCCAUUUUCAAACUCUACCCCCCUAAAUCGCCUUUUCAGUAUUGUAAAAAGCAAAAUAAAAUGAUGAAAACUUCAAAAAUUAAAAUCCUUCGAGCUGUAGUUAUGUUACUGUUGGGUUUCGUAGUAAUUUCAAAAAAAAUUCCUACGCGCACACAGGAUCAUGUGAUGCAUAGCAACGAGAGGAGAGUGUUGUCUACGUACCCAACGCAGACCGACUGCGGAAGCGGUGACACGACGUAGAGGAAGUAGUCGUACGUCUUCACGAUCCAACCGAUCAAGUACCGAAACUACGACACCUCCGAGUUCGAGCACACGUUCAGCUCGAUGACGAUCCCCGGACUUCGAUCCAGCAAAGUGUCGGGGAAGAGUUCCGUCAGCACGACGGCGUGGUGACGAUCUUGAUGAACUACAGCAGCAGGGCUUCGCCUAAACUCCACUACAGUAUUAUCGAGGAAUAUGGUGGCAGGGGGCACCGCACACGGCUAAGGAAUUGAUCACGUGGAUCAACUUGUGUCAACUUGUGUGUUUAGAGGUGCCCCUGCCUCCGUAUAUAAAGGAGUAGAGGGGAGGGUGCGCCGGCCAAGAGGGAGAGGCGCAGGAGGAGUCCUACUCCUACCGGGAGUAGGACUCCCCCCCCAAUCCUAUUCCAACUAGGAUUCCCAAGGGGGAAAGAGGGAGAGGGGUGGCCGGCCACCUCUCCUAGUCCUAAUAGGACUAGGGGAAGGGGGGAGGCGCACAGCCCCCUUGGGCUGCCCCUUUCUCCUUUCCACUAAGGCCCAUGAUGGCCCAUAUGGCUCCCGGGGGGUUCCGGUAACCUCCCGGUAACCCGGUAAAAUCCUGAUUUCACCCGGAACACCUCCGAUGUCCAAACAUAGACUUCCAAUAUAUCAAUCUUUAUGUCUCGACCAUUUCGAGACUCCUCGUCAUGUCCGUGAUCACAUCCGGGACUCCGAACAACCUUCGGUACAUCAAAAUGCAUAAACUCAUAAUGUAACUGUCAUCGUAACCUUAAGCGUGCGGACCCUACGGGUUCGAGAACAAUGUAGACAUGACCGAGACACGUCUCUGGUCAAUAACCAAUAGCGGGACCUGGAUGCCCAUAUUGGCUCCUACAUAUUCUACGAAGAUCUUUAUCGGUCAGACCGCAUAACAACAUACGUUGUUCCCUUUGUCAUCGGUAUGUUACUUGCCCGAGAUUCGAUCGUCGGUAUCCAAUACCUAGUUCAAUCUCGUUACCGGCAAGUCUCUUUACUCGUUCCGUAAUACAUCAUCUCACAACUAACAUAUUAGUUGUAAUGCUUGCAAGGCUUAUGUGAUGUGUAUUACCGAGAGGGCCCAGAGAUACCUCUCCGACAAUCGGAGUGACAAAUCCUAAUCUCGAAAUACGCCAACCCAACAUCGACCAUUGGAGACUCCCGUAGUACUCCUUUAUAAUCACCCAGUUACGUUGUGACGUUUGGUAGUACCCAAAGUGUUCCUCCGGUAAACGGGAGUUGCAUAAUCUCAUAGUCAUAGGAACAUGUAUAAGUCAUGAAGAAAGCAAUAGCAACAUACUAAACGAUCGGGUGCUAAGCUAAUGGAAUGGGUCAUGUCAAUCAGAUCAUUCUACUAAUGAUGUGACCUCGUUAAUCAAAUAACAACUCAUUGUUCAUGGUUAGGAAACAUAACCAUCUUUGAUUAACGAGCUAGUCAAGUAGAGGCAUACUAGUGACACUCUGUUUGUCUAUGUAUUCACACAUGUAUUAUGUUUCCGGUAAAUACAAUUCUAGCAUGAAUAAUAAACAUUUAUCAUGAUUAUAAGGAAAUAAAUAAUAACUUUAUUAUUGCCUCUAGGGCAUAUUUCCUUCAGUCUCCCACUUGCACUAGAGUCAAUAAUCUAGUUCACAUCGUCAUGUGAUUUAACACCAAUAUUCAUAUCUGUAUAUGAUUAACACCAUAGUUCACAUCAUCAUGUGACCAACACCCAAAGGGUUUACUGGAGUCAAUAAUCUAGUUCACAUCGCUAUGUGAUUAACAUCCAAAGAGUACUAAGGUGUGAUCAUGUUUUGCUCGUGAGAGAAUCUUAGUCAACGGGUCUGCCACAUUCAGAUCCUCAUGUAUUUUGCAAAUUUCUAUGUCAACAAUGCUCUGCAUGGAGCUACUCUAGCUAAUUGCUCCCACUUUCAAUAUGUAUCCAGGUUGAGACUUAGUGUCAUCUGGAUCAGUGUAAAAGUUUGCACUGAUGUAACUUUUACAACAAACUCUUUUAUCACCUCCAUAAUCGAGAAACAUCUCCUUAGUCCUUACUAAGGAUAUUCUUGACCAAUGUCCAGUGAUCUACUCCUAGAUCACUAUUGUACUCUCUUGCCAAAUUCAGAGCAAGGUAUACAAUAGGUCUGGUACAUAGCAUAGCAUACUUUAUAGAACCUAUGACUGAGGCACAGGGAAUGACUUUUCAUUCUCUUUCUUUUUUAUGCUGUGGUCGGGAUUUGAGUCUUACUCAAUUUCAUACUUUUGCAACACAGGCAAGAACUCUUUCUUUGACUGUUCCAUUUUGAACUAUUUCAAAAUCUUGCCAAGGUAUGUUCUCAUUGAAAAUCUUAUCAAGCGUCUUGAUCUAUCUCAAUAGAUCUUGAUGCUCAAUAUGUAAGCAGCUUCACCAAGGUCUUUCUUUGAAAAACUUUUAUUCAAGUAUCCUUUCAUGCUUUGCAGAAUAAUUCUACAUUAUUUCUGAUCAACAAUAUGUCAUUCACAUAUACUUAUCAGAAAUGUUGUAGUGCUCCCACUCACUUUCUUGUAAAUACAGGCUUCUCAAAAAGUCUGUAUAAAACCAUAUGCUUUGAUCAACUCAUCAAAGCGUAUAUUCCAACUCCGAGAGGCUUGCACCAGUCCAUAGAUGGAUCGCUGGAGCUUGCACAUUUUGUUAGUACCUUUAGGACUGACAAAACCUUCUGGUUGCAUCUUAUACAACUCUUCUUUAAUAAAUCCAUUAAGGAAUGCAGUUUUGUUUAUCCAUUUGCCAGAUUUCAUAAAAUGCGGCAAUUGCUAACAUGAUUCGGACAGACUAAAGCAUAGAUACGAGUGAGAAAAACUCAUCGUAGUCAACACCUUGAACUUUGUCGAAAACCUUUCUUGCGACAAUUCUAGCUUUGUAGAUAGUAACACUACUAUCAGCGUCCGUCUUCCUCUUGAAGAUCCAUUUAUUCUCAAUUGCUUGCUGAUCAUCGGGCAAGUCAACCAAAGUCCAAACUUUGUUCUCAUACAUGGAUCAUAUCUCAGAUUUCAUGGCCUCAAGCCAUUUCGUGGAAUCUGGGCUCAUCAUUGCUUCCUCAUAGUUCGUAGGUUCAUCAUGGUCUAGUAACAUGACUUCCUGAACAUGAUUACCGUACCACUCUGGUGCGGAUCUUACUCUGGAAGACCUACGAGGUUUGGUAGUAACUUGGUCUGAAGUUUGAUGAUCAUCAUCAUUAACUUCCUCACUUAUUGGUGUAGGAAUCACUGGAACUGAUUUCUGUGAUGAACUACUUUCCAAUAAGGGAGAAGGUAUAAUUACCUCAUCAAGUUCUACUCUCCUCCCACUCACUUCUUUCGAGAGAAACUCCUUCUCUGGAAAGAAUCCAUUUUAGCAACGAAUGUCUUGCCUUUGGAUCUGUGAUAGAAGGUGUACCCAACAAUUUCCUUUGGGUAUUCUAUGAAGAUGCACUUCUCCGAUUUGGGUUCGAGCUUAUCAGGAUGAAACUUUUUCACAUAAGCAUCGCAGCCCCAAACUUUAAGAAACAACAGCUUAGGUUUACUGCUAAACCAUAGUUCAUACAGUGUCGUCUCAACGGAUUUAGAUGGUGCCCUAUUUUAAAACGUGAAUGCAGCUGUCUCGAAUGCAUAACCAAAACGAUAGUGGUAAAGAGAUAUCAUAGAUCGCACCAUAUCAAAUAAAGUGCGGUUUACGACGUUCGGACACACCAUAACGAUGUGGUGUUCCAGGUGGCGUGAGCUGUGAAACUAUUCCACAUUGUUUUAAUUGAAGACCAAACUCGUAACUCAAAUAUUUGUCUCCGCGAUCAGAUCAUAGAAACUUUAUUUUCUUGUUACGAUGAUUUUUCCACUUCACUCUGAAAUUCUUUGAACCUUUCAACUAUUUCAGACUUAUGUUUCAUCAAGUAGAUAUACCCAUAUCUGCUUAAAUCAUCUGUGAAGGUGAGAAAAUAACGAUAUCUGCCACGAGCCUCAAUAUUCAUCGGGCCACAUACAUCGGUAUGUAUGAUUUCCAACAAAUCUGUUGCUCUCUCCAUAGUACCGGAGAACGGUGUUUUAGUCAUCUUACCCAUAAGGCACGGUUCGCAAGUCCCAAGUGAUUCAUAAUCAAGUGGUUCCAAAAGUCCAUCAGUAUGGAGUUUCUUCAUGCGCUUUACACCAAUAUGACCUAAACGGCAGUGCUACAAACAAGUUGCACUUAUCAUUAUUAACUUUGCAUCUUUUGGUUUCAAUAUUAUGAUUAUGUGUAUCACUACGAUCGAGAUCCAACAAACUAUUUUCAUUGUGUGUGUAACCAUUUAAGGUUUUAUUCAUGUAAACAGAACAACAAUUUAUUCUCUUACUUAAAUGAAUAAUCGUAUUACAAUAAACAUGAUCAAAUCAUAUUCAUGCUCAACGCAAACACCAAAUAACACUUAUUUAGGUUCAACACUAAUCCCGAAAGUAUAGGGAGUGUGUGACGAUGAUCAUAUCAAUCUUGGAACCACUUCCAACACACAUCGUCACUUCAUCCUUAACUAGUCUCUGUUUAUUCUGCAACUCCCGUUUCGAGUUACUAAUCUUAGCAACUGAACUAGUAUCAAAUACUGAGGGUUUGCGAUAAACACUAGUAAAGUAUACAUCAAUAACAUGUAUAUCAAAUAUACUUAUGUUCACUUUGCCAUCCUUCUUAUCCGCCAAUCACUUGGGGUAGAUCCGCUUCCAGUGACCAGUCCCUUUGCAGUAGAAACACUUAGUCUCAGGCUUAGGAUCAGACUUGGGUUUCUUCACUUGAGCAGCAACUUGCUUGCUGUUCUUCUUGAAGUUCCCCUUCUUCCUUCUGCCCCUUUUCUUGAAACUAGUGGUCUUGUCUACCAUCAACACUUUGAUGUUUUUCUCGAUUUCUACCUUCGUUAAUUUCCGCAUUACGAAGAGCUUGGGAAUCGUUUCCGUUAUCCCUUGCAUGUCAUAGUUCAUCACGAAGUUCUACUAACUUGGUGAUGGUGACUAGAGAACUCUGUCAAUCACUAUCUUAUCUGGAAGAUUAACUCCCACUUGAUUCAAGCGAUUGAAGUACUCAGACAAUCUGAGCACAUGCUCACUAGUUGAGCGAUUCUCCUCCAUCUUUUAGCUAUAGAACUUGUUGGAGACUUCAUAUCUCUCAACUCGGGUAUUUGUUUGAAAUAUUAGCUUCAACUCCUGGAACAUCUCAUAUGAUCCAUGACAUUCAAAACGUCUUUGAAGUCCCGAUUCUAAGCCGUUAAGCAUGGUGCACUUAAACUAUCAAGUAGUCAUCAUAUUGAGCUAGCCAAACGUUCAUAACGUCUGCAUUUGCUCCUGCAAUAGGUCCGUCACCUAGCGGUGCAUUAAGGACAUAAUUCUUCUGUGCAGCAAUGAGGAUUUAACCUCAGAUCACGGAUCAAAUCCGCAACAUUGCUACUAACAAUUUUCAACACAAUUUUCUCUAGGAACAUAUCAAAAUAAACACAGGGAAGCAACAACGCGAGCUAUUGAUCUACAACAUGAUUUGCAAAAUACUACCAGGACUAAGUUCAUGAUAAAUUUAAGUUCAAUUUAAUCAUAUUACUAAAGAACUCCCACUUAGAUAGACAUCCCUCUAAUCCUCUAAGUGAUCACGUGAUCCAAAUCAACUAAACCAUGUCCGAUCAUCACGUGAGAUGGAGUAGUUUCAUCGGUCAACAUCAUUAUGUUGAUCAUAUCUACUAUAUGAUUCACGCUCGACCUUUCGGUCUCCGUGUUCCGAGGCCAUAUCUGCAUAUGCUAGGCUCGUCAAGUUUAACCUGAGUAUUCUGCAUGCGCAACUGUUUUGCACCCGUUGUAUUUGAACGUAGAGCCUAUCACACCCGAUCAUCACGUGGUGUCUCAGCACGAAGAACUUUCGCAACGGUGCAUACUCAGGGAGAACACUUCUUGAUAAUUUAGUGAGAGAUCAUCUUAUAAUGCUACCGUCAAUCAAAGCAAGAUAAGAUGCAUAAAAAGUUAAACAUCACAUGCAAUCAAUAUAAGUGAUAUGAUAUGGUCAUCAUCAUCUUGUGCUUGUGAUCUCCAUCUCCGAAGCACCGUCAUGAUCACCAUCGUCACCGGCGCGACACCUUGAUCUCCAUCGUAGCAUCGUUGUCGUCUCGCCAAUCUUAUGCUUCCACGACUAUUACUACCGUUUAGUAAUAAAGUAAAGCAUUACAUCGCGAUUGCAUUGCAUACAAUAAAGCGACAACCAUAUGGCUCCUGCCAGUUGCCGAUAACUCGGUUACAAAACAUGAUCAUCUCAUACAAUAAAAUUCAGCAUCAUGCUUUGACCAUAUCACAUCACAACAUGCCCUGCAAAAACAAGUUAGACGUCCUCUUCUUUGUUGUUGCUUGUUUUACGUGGCUGCUACGGGCUUAAGUAAGAACCAAUCUCACCUACGCAUCAAAACCACAACGAUAGUUUGUCAAAUAGACUCCGUUUUAACCUUCGCAAGGACCGGGCGUAGCCAUACUUGGUUCAACUAAAGUUGGAGAGGCAGUCGCCCGCAAGCCAUCUCUGUGCAAAGCACGUCGAGGGAACCGGUCUCGCGUAAGCGUACGCGUAAGGUUGGUCCGGGUCGUCUCGUCCAACAAUACCGCCGAACCAAAGUAUGACAUGCUGGUAGGCAGUAUGACUUGUAUCGUCCACAACUUACUUGUGUUCUACUCGUGCAUAUAACAUCAACAUCAAUAACCUAGGCUCUGAUACCACUGUUGGGUUUCGUAGUAAUUUCAAAAAAAUUUCCUACGCGCACACAGGAUCAUGUGAUGCAUAGCAACGAGAGGAGAGUGUUGUCUACGUACCCAACGCAGACCGACUGCGGAAGCGGUGACACGACGUAGAGGAAGUAGUCGUACGUCUUCACGAUCCAACCGAUCAAGUACCGAAACUACGGCACCUCCGAGUUCGAGCACACGUUCAGCUCGAUGACGAUCCCCGGACUUCGAUCCAGCAAAGUGUCGGGGAAGAGUUCCGUCAGCACGACGGCGUGGUGACGAUCUUGAUGAACUACAGCAGCAGGGCUUCGCCUAAACUCCGCUACAGUAUUAUCGAGGAAUAUGGUGGCAGGGGGCACCGCACACGGCUAAGGAAUUGAUCACGUGGAUCAACUUGUGUCAACUUGUGUGUUUAGAGGUGCCCCUGCCUCCGUAUAUAAAGGAGUAGAGGGGAGGGUGCGCCGGCCAAGAGGGAGAGGCGCAGGAGGAGUCCUACUCCUACCGGGAGUAGGACUCCCCCCCAAUCCUAUUCCAACUAGGAUUCCCAAGGGGGAAAGAGGGAGAGGGGUGGCCGGCCACCUCUCCUAGUCCUAAUAGGACUAGGGGAAGGGGGGAGGCGCACAGCCCCCUUGGGCUGCCCCUUUCUCCUUUCCACUAAGGCCCAUGAUGGCCCAUAUGGCUCCCGGGGGGUUCCGGUAACCUCCCGGUAACCCGGUAAAAUCCUGAUUUCACCCGGAACACUUCCGAUGUCCAAACAUAGACUUCCAAUAUAUCAAUCUUUAUGUCUCGACCAUUUCGAGACUCCUCGUCAUGUCCGUGAUCACAUCCGGGACUCCGAACAACCUUCGGUACAUCAAAAUGCAUAAACUCAUAAUGUAACUGUCAUCGUAACCUUAAGCGUGCGGACCCUACGGGUUCGAGAACAAUGUAGACAUGACCGAGACACGUCUCUGGUCAAUAACCAAUAGCGGGACCUGGAUGCCCAUAUUGGCUCCUACAUAUUCUACGAAGAUCUUUAUCGGUCAGACCGCAUAACAACAUACGUUGUUCCCUUUGUCAUCGGUAUGUUACUUGCCCGAGAUUCGAUCGUCGGUAUCCAAUACCUAGUUCAAUCUCGUUACCGGCAAGUCUCUUUACUCGUUCCGUAAUACAUCAUCUCACAACUAACAUAUUAGUUGUAAUGCUUGCAAGGCUUAUGUGAUGUGUAUUACCGAGAGGGCCCAGAGAUACCUCUCCGACAAUCGGAGUGACAAAUCCUAAUCUCGAAAACGCCAACCCAACAUCGACCAUUGGAGACACCUGUAGUACUCCUUUAUAAUCACCCAGUUACGUUGUGACGUUUGGUAGUACCCAAAGUGUUCCUCCGGUAAACGGGAGUUGCAUAAUCUCAUAGUCAUAGGAACAUGUAUAAGUCAUGAAGAAAGCAAUAGCAACAUACUAAACGAUCGGGUGCUAAGCUAAUGGAAUGGGUCAUGUCAAUCAGAUCAUUCUACUAAUGAUGUGACCUCGUUAAUCAAAUAACAACUCAUUGUUCAUGGUUAGGAAACAUAACCAUCUUUGAUUAACGAGCUAGUCAAGUAGAGGCAUACUAGUGACACUCUGUUUGUCUAUGUAUUCACACAUGUAUUAUGUUUCCGGUAAAUACAAUUCUAGCAUGAAUAAUAAACAUUUAUCAUGAUUAUAAGGAAAUAAAUAAUAACUUUAUUAUUGCCUCUAGGGCAUAUUUCCUUCAGUUACUACAUCUAAUAGUUAGGAAAAUUAAAAAAAUUAAAUUUGGACAUGUUUUGCAAAAAAAAUGUUAUGAAAAUGUAAAACGGCCGUAUCUUUUGCAUACGAUGUCGAAAAAAUGCAUAAUAUAUCAAAAAAAAUCAGCAGGAAAAUCCGCAUCCAAUUUGAACCCUUGGGGAAUUUUUAACCUUCACAGUCUUCUUCAUAUUGGAUUUUCAUCACUUUGAGACGACCUUGACGUGUUAUUUUUGUAGUGUUCCUCUAGUCGUGAGUGUGAAGCCAGUAAGUGCUAUGCUAAUCUAACCGAAUACAAGCCAUGUCUUUGGGGGCUCCAAGCCCAAGUAAUCCUCUUGCAAUGUUCCUAAAGGAAUUUUCAUAAUAGCUCUCAUGUCUGCUGAUCAGAAAUUGAGCUCUAAUGCUUGCUCGUCUCAAGACAAUCCAUCCAGAGCUAAAAAGUCCUGAACCAUAACUGCAGUGGCCUCUGGCUUCCUAAAUAUUGUUUAAAUCCCAGAAUUUCUGAAAUUCAAUUUUCGUUCCAGAUUUUAUUUUUUGAACAAUCGCCGCGCGGGGGUGGGGUGGAGGUGGGGGGGAGCUUCUUCUUAAUUAGGUUUUCUUGUACUGCCAUCCCCAAUCCUUUUAAUUAGUCCUUUUUUCUAGAACUUCUUUCCUGUUCAAAAUACCUUUCCAUCUGUGAGAGUUAUUGUGUUUCUUCUUAGCACCCAUGAAACCUCUACAAAGAGUGCGGGCACACAAGGAAUCAUGUUUUGUCAUUAAUAUCCGACCUUAUUUCUCAACCAUUGCAAUGUUGAAAAAGUGCAAGUCCCUGAAGUCCAUACAUCCUCCUGUCUUCGUAUGAGCUAUAUCUGACCAUUUCUUCCAAUGUAAUUUGCUUGUAUCUCCAUCUCCUCCCCACCAAUAUCGAGCUAGGCUUGAGGUAAUCCUUUUUAUACGUUGUCUUUGAUAGCGGAAAAUAACUCAUUCAGAAUGUGGGCACUGAUUGUGUCACUUCUUUGAUGAGGAUUUCUUUGCCAGCUGCACAUAACUUCUUUUCACACCAGCAUUAACAAGGUUCUGGAUUCUUGAACUUAUUUUUCCAAAGGCUCCUGCGAUAUAGAUCUGCCAAUAGCAGUUGGCAGUCCUAAAUAUUUUUCCUCCAGGGCUUCUCUCUCAAUACUGAGACAUUGGGUAACUUUGGUUUCAGCUUCUGCCAAAUAGUUUCUGUUGAAGAAGAUAUCAGAUUUUGCUCGAUUCACCAACUGACCUGAUCCUAUUUUGUAGGCUUCCAGAAUUUUAUUUAGUCUUGUUGCUUCCUGAUGCCUGAGUAAAAACAAUGUAAUCAUCAACGAAUAAAAAGUGAGAUAUAAAUGGUGCAUGGAUCCCCACUCUAAUUCCUUUAGCAAGAAAUUGCGGGCCAGAAAAUAUUAAUAAACUAGAUAAGCCUUCAGCACAUAGAAGACAAAGAUAAGGAUAUAUUGGACCUCCUUGCCUGAUACCAAGAGAGAAUCAUUUUCUCAUCGUAUGCAUCAGCCGUAACAACCUAUAGAUUAUGACUACAUCCGGAGAAACACUUUACCACAAGAGACAGAAGGAGUUACUGGUUUGGUUGACCUUGCCAACCGCCGGAGUGCAUAAUAAUGAUUAUGAACGGGACUAGUAACCUUACUGCAUGUUCAACUUAUUUUACGAUUAGAUUAGAGGACUGAGGAGUGGUGCGCAACAUCUAGUAAUGAUUUUAUUUUCAUUACCAUACAUGCCAGUGCUUUUUACCAUGGUUAGUAGUAGGAGUCGUGGGAACUUGGGCGUAGCACAACGCGUGGAAUCUGGUAAAGCAAUUUAAUUUCGUUACCAUACAUAUGGCUAGCAUUUUUACCGUGACUAGAGAAAAGUGAUGCGGGGCAAAGGUUGGGUGCGCUGCAGCGGUAAUAGAAAUUAAACCUAUCACUAUAUAUAUAUAUAUAUAUAUAUAUAUAUAUAUAUAUAUAUAGGGUGCCGUGCUGGUUGUUGCACUUCUCCUUCAUUUUUGUUUUCCUAUGCACUCAAUAUUAUUGUGAGAAACAUAGACCUAGGUCACUUGAAUAAAUGGUUGUUGUAUCAGGCACCACGUGUUGAUGUUGAAAUGAAGGAUGGUGCAUUGGAACGCCAAAUCAUGGAAGCGCCUAAGUCAGGUUGCGAUAGCAAGACAGCUUGUUUUCCCUAUUAUUGGUUAUUGGUCCUCCAACUUUUUAACCUAUGUUUUCUUAAUUUCAUUGAAGGUGGCGUCGCUGAGAAUAGCAAUGAUCAGAUUCGUGAUUCCGUGCUAGAGAUUAAGAAAAUACGGGAUUCUAUUGUAUGUUAUAUGUCUUCUCUUUUGUUUCAGGAAAAAAUGAUGCUUGUUUUUCUUAUAUUUUAUUCUAGUUGAGAAUCUUAUGUGAAUUCAUCCCCUCUUUGUUUCAGCUUCGUAAGGAAUUCAUACUUCAAGACGGAAGUGCUCAAUGUGAUAUGGACAUUCAUAAAAUUAAGACUGGUAUUCUACCAUUUUACACAUCUAAACAUCGUUAGAUUGAUAAUCACUUGUAGAAAUGUCACUGUUUUCUGGCAAACAUUUUGGGCAUGUUUUGCUGGGAGCUAUACAUUUCCCAAAGUUCUAUGUUAAACUGUCGUGUACCUCAUCUUAAACUGUGGACAAAUUGUCCAUUAGAAGUGUGGAAUAUUUUGACAAGAAGUUAUUUCUAUAUGUGUUCCACAUUCCCAUUACUCGUCAUGUUUAAACCUUAUGCAAAAGAGAAGAUGACAGUAGAAGUGUUGUCAAUAAUGGAGAAAUAUAAGGAACCUAGAUCAAAUAUAAUGAAAGUUGUCAAUCUAACUUUCUCUGGCGAUGAUGGCAAAACCAAGAGCACUAAGAGGAUGGGAUUGAACUUGAAGGAGGCACUCUCCCAACGCGAUAAAUGCAUGGUAAGAAACCUCGCACUGAAGGGAUGCAUUAAAUUUUUAAAUGCCAUCUGUACCUUUGACACUUGUCAAUGCAGGAACUUGUUGAGAUCUGUUGUGAUUGCGAUUGAAUGGCCCCUACAGAUGGUAUGUGUAAACACAUUUACUCUUAUCUCUUUAAUUUUCCAAAUCGACAAGCAUGGGGUUCUUGGACCUUAUAGGCACAAUAAUAAAGAAUUUCAUACAAAUGGGUCUUGUGCCACAUACUUUCUGAUUAGCGUUUAUUGAAUCCAAUCCCUAUAGUGCCCCAUUAGUAUCAUGCAUUCAAAUGUUAGCAUACAUGGUGUACUACGCUUAGUAUGCUUGGGAAAAAGAGUUUUCAAGUGGUCAAAUCUAUAAACCACUUGUCUGUUCUCUAUUCAGGUGUUAGAUUUAUUCAACAUCAUGGUUCGGUCCAUGGUUAACAAAGACAUGUAUCACGCCGUUGUAGGAUCUAUCAGAGAUCACCUCUACUCACCUCAUUGCAUUCCACUUGUCAAGAACUGAAUAGGUCUCCACGUAGCAAUAACCAAGAACUGAUAUUUGGUUUAGUACCAUCUUCUCUCAUUCAUAGCUCUCACACAUUGUUUUUCGGGCACUUAUUCACCGACCACUCCUAUCUUUUUAGGAAUGCACGUUGGCGAAGUACGUUUGAAAUGCCCUGAUUUUGAGAUGAGCAUCACCGGCGAUCCUCGUCCGCCCCCAGAUGAUGCAAGGUGCUCCGCAACUGCCAAUAUGAUACUGGAGCUUGGCAAGAAGGCGGGGGAAAAGAACAACAUGAUAACUGAUGCAAAGUUGCUAGCUGGGACUAGUAAGGCGUUGGGGCCAAUAUUAGUAAAGAGUGAAAUAAAGCAACUUAGGUAUUUGUUGUUCUGAUGUCCGAAAGUUAUAAUGAUUUGUGUUGUAUGAGUUUGUAUUGUACAUGCGUGCUAACCAUGUGCUCAAACGGAUUAUUUUUACCAUUAUUUUAUUGAGUUUUCUUUGUUUUGGGAACUUUUUCAAACUUGCUUUUGGGUGGAAUUUCACUUAUGUGCAUAUGAGUGGGUUACAUUUUCCCAAAAUUAUAGCACCUUUUUGGAAGGUUGCUUAUUAUUGCUAAUUUAGCAAUUGC
rnacentral:lncRNA from 1 species